rfam:Triticum aestivum genome assembly, contig: Triticum_aestivum_CS42_TGACv1_scaffold_062043_1DL
AAAGUACUCCCUCCGUCCGGAAAUACUUGUCAUGAAAAUGGAUAAAAGGGGAUGUAUCUAAACGUAUUUUAGUUCUAGAUACAUCUUUUUUUAUCCAUUUUGAUGAUAAGUAUUUUCGAACGGAGGGAGUAUUAA